GACGAACGCUGGCGGCGUGCUUAACACAUGCAAGUCGAACGAAGAGCGAUGGAAGCUUGCUUCUAUCAAUCUUAGUGGCGAACGGGUGAGUAACGCGUAAUCAACCUGCCCUUCAGAGGGGGACAACAGUUGGAAACGACUGCUAAUACCGCAUACGAUCUAAUCUCGGCAUCGAGGAUAGAUGAAAGGUGGCCCCUACAUGUAAGCUAUCACUGAAGGAGGGGAUUGCGUCUGAUUAGCUAGUUGGGGGGGAAACGGCCCACCAAGGCGAUGAUCAGUAGCCGGUCUGAGAGGAUGAACGGCCACAUUGGGACUGAGACACGGCCCAGACUCCUACGGGAGGCAGCAGUGGGGAAUCUUCCGCAAUGGACGAAAGUCUGACGGAGCAACGCCGCGUGAGUGAUGACGGCCUUCGGGUUGUAAAGCUCUGUUAAUCGGGACGAAAGGCCUUCUUGCGAAUAGGGAGAAGGAUUGACGGUACCGGAAUAGAAAGCCACGGCUAACUACGUG
rnacentral:rRNA from 1 species